rnacentral:ribozyme from 1 species
UUCCCAGCAACUCCUAUCCCUACCUCCUCACGGUACUGGCCGGGGUACGAUUAACCUUAGGGAAGAUCGGGUAACCAACCCCCGGUGGGAACUUUGGUCGUAUGUUGAUAGGGAAGG